UCCAACAGAUUGGUAUCCGGAGAUUUUGGUGGUCAUUGUGCGGUGGAAAUGAAGCGAGGAACCUCAUUUUGUAAACAUUCUUGGGUUAGCCAUGCGAUGGUGCUGAGUCCUGUUGGAAUGUCCAAGGUCUGCGGCCAAAAUGUUUGCGUGCCCAAGGCUUUAAAUCAUUCGGCAUUUAUUCUGAUGUCACGGUCGAUUAAUACGAGCGAAGAGCGACCAUCGGCUGUUAUGGCGGCCCACACCAUCACCAUGGACCAGUGCACAUUUUCAGCUUACCUCUUUGGCAAGUAAACACGAUAAUUUUGUUUGUUUACAAAAUGCUGGACAACAAAUGUUUUUCUCAUCGGAGAAACCCAAAUUCGGCAGUUCACCACUUUUGGCCAAGCGAAGCAACUCUUUAGCUCAUUUGAGUCUAUUUUCUUUCUUGCACUUUUUGGAAUUUCAAUGGCUUUACCCCGAGCUCAUUUUUCAAUAUUUGCCGAAUGGAAUAUUUCGAUAUGUUCAGCUCAAGAGCCAUUUUUCGGCCACUGCGACGAGGGUUACGAUCAAGUCGCUUCAUUACUUUUCGAAUCAUUUCUGCUGAUGUUGCUGUUUUCUUCCGUCCGCUUCCUUGACGUCGGGCUAUGGUACAAUUAUCACGGUAACGAGCGAUGGUACAAGACACAAAAGAUUUAUUCACAUUUAAAUGCUGGGGUUCUCUAACGAUAGCCACUUGUGGUUUUCCAGCCAAA